rnacentral:tRNA from 1 species
GUGGGUGUAGUCAAGCGGUUAAGACACAGGGUUGUGGCUCCUGCACUCGUGGGUUCGAAUCCCAUCACCCACCCCA